rnacentral:lncRNA from 1 species
CAGGCUAGUGGAUCACAAGGUCAGGAGUUCAAGACCAGCCUGGCCAAGAAAACCCCGUCUCUACUAAAAAAAAAAAAAAUACAAAAAUUAGCCAGGUGCGGUGGCAGGCACCUGUAAUCCAAACUACUCGGAGGACUGAGACAGGAGAAUCAUGUGAACCCAGGGGGCGGAGGUUGCAAUGAGCCAAGAUCACGCCACUGCACUCCAGCCUGGGUGACAGAGUGAGACUCCUUCUCAAAAAAAAACAAAAAAAAAACACCACUGGCCUCUGGUUCCCCCUGGCCCAGCCUGGAGAAGGGUCCCUGACCCCUGUCAGACAGGCAGUGAACCCUGCCUCACCUGACGCAGAGCCCUCCUGCCACAAGGGAAGUGGGAGCUGGAAGCUCGUGGCACAGACCUUGGAAGUGUUCUGAGGCCAGACGCGGUGGCUCACGCCUGGGAUCCCAGUACUUUGGGAGGCCGAGGUGGACAGAUCACCUGAGGUCAGGAGUUUGAGACCAGCCUGGACAACAUGGUGAAACCCCCGGCCCUAAAAUAAAAUAAAAUAAAAUAAAAUAGCCAGAUAUGGUGGUGGACACCUGUAGUCCACUCGGAACUACAGGCUGGGGCAGUACUUGGGAGGCUGGGGCAGGAGAAUAGUUUGAACCCAGGAGGCGGAGCUUGCAGUGAACUGAGAUCGCACCACUGCAUUCCAGCCUGGGCGACAGAGCAAGACUGUCUCAAGGCCGGGCGCGGUGGCUCAAGCCUGUAAUCCCAGCACUUUGGGAGGCCGAGACGGGUGGAUCACGAGGUCAGGAGAUCAAGACCAUCCUGGCUGACAAGGUGAAACCCCGUCUCUACUAAAAAAUACAAAAAACCAGCCGGGCGAGGUGGCGGGCGCCUGUAGUCCCAGCUACUCGGGAGGCUGAGGCAGGAGAAUGGCGUGAACCUGGGAGGCGGAGCUUGCAGUGAGCUGAGAUCCGGCCACUGCACUCUAGCCUGGGCGAUAGAGCGAGACUCCGUCUCAAAAAAAAAAAAGACUCUGUCUCAAAAAAAAAAAAAAGUGUUCUGUAAUAAAAGUGAACUGAUAAGCUCUGGGCAUCCCUGAGAAUUCGUUUUCCUUUGGGAAAGGUUCCUACACGGCUGAGGUUUAGGGGCACUGUGAAGCAGAAGCUGAGCCUCGGAAUCCCAGACGGAGACUCCGACCUCCUCCCAGGAGGGAAGCCAGUCGCUGAGCACCUGCGGGAGAUUAAAGAG